rnacentral:rRNA from 1 species
CCUACGGGUGGCAGCAGUGAGGAAUAUUGGUCAAUGGGCGCGAGCCUGAACCAGCCAAGUAGCGUGAAGGAUGACUGCCCUACGGGUUAUAAACUUCUUUUAUAAAGGAAUAAAGUGAGGCACGUGUGCCUUUUUGUAUGUACUUUAUGAAUAAGGAUCGGCUAACUCCGUGCCAGCAGCCGCGGUAAUACGGAAGGUCCGAGCGUUAUCCGGAUUUAUUGGGUUUAAAGGGAGCGUAGAUGGGUUGUUAAGUCAGUUGGGAAAGUUUGCGGCUCAACCGUAAAAUUGCAAUUGAUACUGGCAGUCUUGAGUACGGGUGAGGUAGGCGGAAUUCGUGGUGUAGCGGUGAAAUGCUUAGAUAUCACGAAGAACUCCGAUUGCGAAGGCAGCUUACUAAACUGCCACUGACAUUGAGGCACGAAAGUGUGGGUAUCAAACAGGAUUAGAUACCCGAGUAGUC